AUACGUAGGUGGCAAGCGUUAUCCGGAUUUACUGGGUGUAAAGGGCGUGUAGGCGGGACUGCAAGUCAGAUGUGAAAACUAUGGGCUCAACCCAUAGCCUGCAUUUGAAACUGUAGUUCUUGAGUGUCGGAGAGGCAAUCGGAAUUCCGUGUGUAGCGGUGAAAUGCGUAGAUAUACGGAGGAACACCAGUGGCGAAGGCGGAGUGCUGGACGAUAACGGACGCUGACGCGCGAAAGCGUGGGGAGCAAACAGGAUUAGAUGCCCUGGUAGUCCACGCCGUAAACGAUGGAUACUAGGUGUGGGGGGUCUGACCCCCUCCGUGCCGCAGCUAACGCAAUAAGUAUCCCACCUGGGGAGUACGAUCGCAAGGUUGAAACUCAAAGGAAUUGGCGUGG
rnacentral:rRNA from 1 species